rnacentral:lncRNA from 1 species
CAGAAGGAUGUUCUAGCUUUACUCAGUCUUGCUUUGAUGUCUUUGGUGGUCCCAUUAUCACUGCUUAUUACACUGCCUAGGUAUGUAAAGUCUUCUAUUUCCUUGAUGUUUAAGGAUCCAAUCUUUAUUGGAAUUUUAUUUGAUUGGUCGUUGAUUGACAUGACUUUUGUUUUCUCUAUGUUUAUUUUGAGCCCAAGUUUGUUUGACAUAUCAUUCAGUCUUGAAGUUUCCUUUUGCAUUUGUGUUCUGUUGCUGAAUAGUAAGCAAAUGUCACCUGCCAAGUCCAAAUCUUCAAGAAAGGAGUCGAGUGUCCAUCUUAUCAUAGUGUUUCCAUUUCCUAAGGUUGAUCUCAUACACCAGUCAACAACUAUUAAGAAGAGAAGAGGAGAGAUUACGCAUUAUUGUCUGACGCC